CCUACGGGUGGCUGCAGUGGGGAAUAUUGGACAAUGGGGGCAACCCUGAUCCAGCCAUGCCGCGUGUGUGAAGAAGGCCCUCGGGUUGUAAAGCACUUUCAGUGAGGAAGAACGCCUGGUGGUUAAUACCCAUCAGGAAAGACAUCACUCACAGAAGAAGCACCGGCUAACUCCGUGCCAGCAGCCGCGGUAAUACGGAGGGUGCGAGCGUUAAUCGGAAUUACUGGGCGUAAAGCGCGCGUAGGUGGCUUGAUAAGCCGGUUGUGAAAGCCCCGGGCUCAACCUGGGAACGGCAUCCGGAACUGUCAAGCUAGAGUGCAGGAGAGGAAGGUAGAAUUCCCGGUGUAGCGGUGAAAUGCGUAGAGAUCGGGAGGAAUACCAGUGGCGAAGGUGGCCUUCUGGACUGACACUGACACUGAGGUGCGAAAGCGUGGGUAGCAAACAGGAUUAGAUACCCUUGUAGUG
rnacentral:rRNA from 1 species